rnacentral:rRNA from 1 species
CAGUAGCCACGGUAAUACGUAGGGUGCGAGCGUUAAUCGGAAUUACUGGGCGUAAAGCGUGCGCAGGCGGUUAUAUAAGACAGAUGUGAAAUCCCCGGGCUCAACCUGGGACCUGCAUUUGUGACUGUAUAGCUAGAGUACGGUAGAGGGGGAUGGAAUUCCGCGUGUAGCAGUGAAAUGCGUAGAUAUGCGGAGGAACACCGAUGGCGAAGGCAAUCCCCUGGACCUGUACUGACGCUCAUGCACGAAAGCGUGGGGAGCAAACAGGAUUAGAUACCCCAGUAGUCCCUGUCUCUUAUAA